AGUCGUAACAAGGUUUCCGUAGGUGAACCUGCGGAAGGAUCAUUAGUGAUUGCCUUUACAGGCUUAACUAUAUCCACAUACACCUGUGAACUGUUCUACCACUUGACGCAAGUCGAGUGUUUUUACAAACAAUGUGUAAUGAACGUCGUUUUAUUAUAACAAAAUAAAACUUUCAACAACGGAUCUCUUGGCUCUCGCAUCGAUGAAGAACGCAGCGAAUUGCGAUAAGUAAUGUGAAUUGCAGAAUUCAGUGAAUCAUCGAAUCUUUGAACGCAGCUUGCGCUCUCUGGUAUUCCGGAGAGCAUGCCUGUUUCAGUGUCAUGAAAUCUCAACCACUAGGGUUUCCUAAUGGAUUGGAUUUGGGCGUCUGCGAUCUCUGAUCGCUCGCCUUAAAAGAGUUAGCAAGUUUGACAUUCAUGUCUGGUGUAAUAAGUUUCACUGGGUCCAUGGUGUUGAAGCGUGCUUCUAAUCGUCCGCAAGGACAAUUACUUUGACUCUGGCCUGAAAUCAGGUAGGACUACCCGCUGAACUUAAGCAUAUCAAUAAGCGGAGGAAAAGAAACUAACAAGGAUUCCCCUAGUAACGGCGAGUGAAGCGGGAAGAGCUCAAAUUUGAAAUCUGGCAGUCUUCGAUUGUCCGAGUUGUAAUCUAUAGAGGCGUUUUCCGUGCCGGACCGUGUCCAAGUCUCCUGGAAAGGAGUAUCA
rnacentral:misc_RNA from 1 species